UACGAAGGGGGCUAGCGUUGUUCGGAAUUACUGGGCGUAAAGGGCGCGUAGGCGGUACUUCAAGUCAGGCGUGAAAGCCCCGGGCUCAACCUGGGAACCGCGCUUGAGACUGGAGAACUAGAGUUCGGGAGAGGAUGGUGGAAUUCCCAGUGUAGAGGUGAAAUUCGUAGAUAUUGGGAAGAACACCGAUGGCGAAGGCAGCCAUCUGGACCGACACUGACGCUGAGGCGCGAAAGCGUGGGAGCAAACAGGAUUGAGAUACC
rnacentral:rRNA from 1 species